UGGGGAAUUUUGCGCAAUGGACGAAAGUCUGACGCAGCAACGCCGCGUGGGUGAUGAAGGUCUUCGGACUGUAAAACCCUGUCGUCAGGGACGAAGGUGUGCAUGUUAAUAGCGUGUGCGCUUGACGGUACCUGGAGAGGAAGCCCCGGCUAACUCUGUGCCAGCAGCCGCGGUAAUACAGAGGGGGCAAGCGUUAUUCGGAAUUAUUGGGCGUAAAGGGCGCGUAGGCGGUUUAUCAAGUCAGAUGUGAAAGCCCUGGGCUCAACCUGGGAAGUGCAUUUGAAACUAGUAGACUUGAGUAUGGGAGAGGGAAGUGGAAUUCCUGGCGUAGAGGUGAAAUUCGUAGAUAUCAGGAGGAACACCGGUGGCGAAGGCGGGUCUCUGGGCAGUAACUGACGCUGAGGAGCGAAAGCGUGGGGAGCAAACAGG
rnacentral:rRNA from 1 species